GACGAACGCUGGCGGCGCGCUUAACACAUGCAAGUCGAGCGGGAACCGGGCCUUCGGGCCCGGGGACAGCGGCGAACGGGUGAGUAACACGUGGGUAAUCUGCCCUCGGUACUGGGAUAGCCCGGGGAAACCCGGCGUAAUACCGAAUAGCCCGUCGAGCCUGCGGGCUCGCAGGAAAAGGUAGCUUCGGCCUCCGACCGAGGAUGAGCCCGCGGCGGAUUAGCUUGUUGGUGGGGUAACGGCCUACCAAGGCGACGAUCCGUAGCGGGUCUGAGAGGACGAUCAGCCACACUGGGACUGAGACACGGCCCAGACUCCUACGGGAGGCAGCAGUGGGGAAUCUUGCCCAAUGGGCGAAAGCCUGAGGCAGCGACGCCGCGUGCGGGAAGAAGGCCCUCGGGUUGUAAACCGCUUUCAGGAGGGACGAAGCCACUCGGGUUAAUAGCCUAGAGGGUGACGGUACCUCCAGAAGAAGCCCCGGCUAACUACGUGCCAGCAGCCGCAGUAAAAC
rnacentral:rRNA from 1 species